rnacentral:rRNA from 1 species
UACGGAGGGUGCAAGCGUUAUCCGGAUUUACUGGGUUUAAAGGGUGUGUAGGCGGACUUUUUAAGUCAGAGGUGAAAUCUCCGGGCUCAACCCGGAAACUGCCCCUGAUACUAUUAGUCUUGAAUAUUGAUGAGGUGGGCGGAACGGGUCAUGUAGCGGUGAAAUGCUUAGAGAUGACCCGGAACACCAAUUGCGAAGGCAGCUCACUGGGCAAUUAUUGACGCUGAG